UUCCCUCCAGCAAGAAAGAGGAUCAGAGAGGCUUCUGUGCCUGAAGGGUCAACCUCACCGCCAUGUGCAGCUUUCCCCGCCUGUCUCCAGUGUUCUGGUGCUAACCAGCCUCCUCCUGCUGCUGCCCACGGGCCAACCAGAAAACAACCUGAGGCUUAACAGCUCUUUAUGGAAUACAGAUUCUAAGGAACUGUUUCAGAAAAUUCCCCCCGGUGCCUCUGGAUCGCCGCCUUCACCCCCACGACCCCAUCUUCAUCCCCGCAAGCUGCUGCAUUCCCAAGCAAAGUCUUCAUCCUUAUACCGGCUAUUUGGGAAUGGGGGGAUGGCAGCGAAAAUGGAUCAGCCAAAGGCAUCCUCACCACCGAGGAGUCAGACACCCACAAUGAGGAAACCACCAGAUAAUGAUGCAUCACAUUUGAUUCUCUGAUUCAAAAGGAGUUCUCUGAUUUCUUCUCUCAUUUUCUUGUCCCCCUACCUUUCACAGCUUCCUUUUGCUCUGAAAUGUCUUUUUUACAUUUAACUAUAUUUAGAAUUCACUCAUUUAUUUAUAGGUAGUCCUAAAACAAAAUUUUUAGAGUAGCUUAAAAUAAUCA